CUUUUUGGAUGGGGAUACCAUGAGUACAAGAUGUAACCAGAGGACAAGAUGUAGCUCCGAGUGUCUCAAAAGUUUCAAUGGUGGAUCUGCCAGGAGUAGCCACUGGAGGAUUUAGAUUUAAUAAGGCUUACAAGCUUAGCAUUUUAGUUGUUGUGUCCAGCGAUUGAGUUUCCGUCGUUUUUGAACUAAGUUUGUGUUGUGUUUUCCUUCACGAGGCGGCUCGUCUGGGUUCAAGAGAGAAAGGUAUGGCAGCAAAGCAUGGGUUUGCCUGAGGUGGACCACAAAGGCUGUAGGGGAUUUGAAGCAUGGGUUUGGUAUGGUAGCGACCUGCUGAGUAGAGAGGUUUUGGAACACUGAGUCAGAGUCUUCAUGAAAUAACAAGUCAGCCAUUGCCGGCCAGUGAACAGUCUAGCCAGGCUGCCAGGGCAGAGGGUUGCCUGCACUAGUAGGAGAACCUGCCAGUUCGUGGGUUUUUUUGUUUGGUUGGUUUUUUGUUUUAUUUUGUUUUUUGUUUUUUUUUUUUUUUCCAAUAUUUCCUGCAAUGUCCCUGUGUAGCCCUGGCUGGCUUUGAACUGAUUCUCCUGCCUCUGGCCUUGCUUGUGCUGCGAUGAUGGGUAUGUGUUGCAUUUUCAAAUCCUAGUUGCUCUGUAAUCUUUCCCCACUUUCUAUGGCCUACCAUAAAUAUCUGAAGGCUGGCACAUGACUUGAAUGUUGAGACAGUUGUUCGUUAAGAUGUUAACAGUUAAGUUUGAAGUUUACUAGAGAACUUUUGAUGACCAUGCCAUGACACCAAGCAAAGCCAUGGCUGUUCUGUGAAGUAAGGACUGAGAAACUGAUAUAGAUCAUGAAUCGUCUCGUGUUGGAUGAAUUCUGAUACUGUGGAAAUGUCAGGCCCAAAUGCAUAGUUCUAUGCUGAUGGCCUAGCUCCCUCUUUCACAAUAGAGCCAUAAAGCAAUUUUGAUAAAAUGGAAAAUACAUAUCUUGAUUCCUGGCACAUGGCUCCUACACCUCUGGAUGAUAUCAGAAAGGUUACUUCUGACUGGUGGUAGUACAUGCCUAUGAUCCCAACACUCAGAAAGUAGAGUCAAGGGGUUUCUAUAAGUGUGAGGCCAGCCUGGUCUACAUACGUUCUAGGACAGCCAGGGCUAGUGGCAUAGUGAGACCCUGUCUCAAAAAAAAAUUUCUACAUGAUAACGAGAAACCUGUUGGAUGGGUGCCCCCCAGAUAGAUUUAGGACAGGGACUCGUCACCAGCAGGUCCACAGAAUAGUUUUCUUUUACCUCCCCAGUGAACCAUGCACUGCUCAGAUAUGAGACCAUCCCCUCACAGCAAUUGCCCUAAGGAAGCAAAGAUCUGUGUCUUGUGCUUAUGUACUGUUUUGUGGUUCACAGUCUAUGAUUGUCCUUCUGAUGUCCUGACCAACCCUUCCACAGAGGAGAAUUAUACAGAAAUGUUACUACAAGGAAGUAGGGCUCGUUUGGACCCGUCUUGGAAGUCACCCACCCAGAGCACUCAGAUAUAUUUUCCGAGAAGUGAUGGACUGCUCUGAUGAGUCGUAAGCACUGUGAACUCGGUCCACUCCGUCUCAUCUACCAUGAGAACCUCGGUAUCUAGCAAUGCCAAAUACUUUAUAACAUUAGUGCUUUCAUUCCGGGGGACUGUAGAUGAAAGUAUUCUACUUUUAUUGUAUCUCAACUCUUAAUAUGGGUAUUGUAAAAUGACUAUGAAAUUAAGUAAUUUUAGAACCACAGAGAACAUGUGUUACUAAAGCUCUCCCACAGGGUCACCCCCAAGCAAAAUCAAGGAGCUAAGAAAGUUUCUUACUUCUCACACGCCCCUGCAUCCCUCCCCUGCUCCAUUGCCCUGUGUGUGCACUAUUCAGCUCAAUAAGGAGGGACACUUGUCAUGCAGGGUGUACUUUUACAUACCUUGAAAGUGCCACUUGGAGAUAAUGAUCAUGUACAAAUGAAUAUCUCAUUCAAAGUUAAUAAAAGCAAAAAAAAAAAGAGUCCCCCUUACUUUAAAUAUAUACAUCACUAAAACUUUGUUUGAAUAUCUGGUAAAAUUGUUUUCUAGUAAGGAGCUGAGGUGUAUGAAAAUCCUCGAGGCUAGAAUAUCUGUUGUGGAAAGAUUAUUGGGUAUCUAGAUACCCCUGAGGGCAGAGAUUACCAUGCCUCAACAUCAACUCACCUGAAGAGCGUAUGUACUGAGUGGAAGGACAAUCAGAGCAUGCUUGUGCGUUUACCUCAUGUUUCCUGAGCACUUCCUUAGUGCCAGACUUGGUUAGUGAUGUUGACCUAUCUAUACCUCUUGGGGUUUGCUCAAAUAUCUUCAUUUCAAUGAAAGUUAGACUGACACCAUACUAAAACCUGUAGUGAGAUAUUGGAGUAAACUAAAGUCCAAGCAGCUGGGCACACAUGUGAGGAAUUUCUAAAAGCAGAUCAUUUGAGAUGAAAAGACGAGACCCGCCCUAAAUCCGGACCAUGCCUCUGGUGGCCGCCUGUAUGAAAGGACAUAGAUGGAAGCUUUUGCUUUUUGCCUCCUUGCCCUCACUCUCACUGGCAAGCUCAUCUACUGUGCUGCUGAGGCUGCUCCUUCGCUGGUGUUAGGACCUACUUCUUCAUGAUUCCAGAGGAGACUGAAGACUAGAUGAGACAUCCAGCACCAUGAACUAAAUGACUAUCAGAUUCUUGGAUUUUCCAUUAGGAGAUAAAUCAUUAUUGAACUAGCCAAUUGAAGACUGUAAGCCACUUAAUAAAUCCCCUUUUACAUAUGUAUAUUUAUACAUAAAUAUAUAUUAUAUAUGUUUAUUUUAUCAGUUCUGUUCCUCUAGAGAACUGGCUUAUACACAUGUCUUAUUUUUCAAUACAUUACAGUUUAUUUCUCUA
rnacentral:lncRNA from 1 species